AAAUAAAAAUAAAAAGUAUAAAUUACAGUUCGCCUGUAGGCCUGCGAACUAUAGCCCAAAAAUAAACAGAAAAGUUUAUUUGGCCCUAAUUUUUCUAAAAUAGAUCUUCUUCGUCAAAGCAUAAGCGGCCAUUCUUACUCCACAAUUUUUGUUCAAACGAUUUUGAGGAUGGACCGUCCAAGAGUGACUAUACAUCCCGGUCCAGAAGAGUACGUAUGCUAACACUCCAGCAGGACCAUCAAUCCCAGGGUGUGUGGGAUGGGACUUUGACUAGACAGGAAGCGUGUGUAACUCCACACCGUGCGGAUUUUGAAUUCUGGCAUCACGUGAAGCAGCACCCUUUGCAUAACUGCAUCCUCAGUUAAUUUGGGAGAUGUGGAUUUAGGGGAGUUUUAGAGGUAGGAUGUGUGAAAUUUGAUGAAGGAAUCAUCACUGCACUUAUUGAGAGAUGGUGUGCAGAGACGCAUACAUUCCAUAUGUGCACUGGCGAAUGUACCAUCACAUUGCAGGAUGUCAAAGUCUUAUUUGGCAUGGUCGUAGAUGGUGACCCGUUGUUGCAAAAUGGUGCUAGACUUAAAAACUAAUCAGAGUGGCAGCAGUUGAUGUACAAGCUUACUGGUUGGCUACCCGAAGAGAGCUUCAUUAAAGGUAACAGCUUGUUGAAAGUAAAAGAAUUAGCUAAUUACAUGGAUAGGUUGGAUGUUAUUACAAACGAGACCGAUGAGAUUGUGGUGCAACGAAGGGUCAGAUUGUACCUGCUAUGGUUGUUUGGUGGCACAAUAUUCCCUGAUAAUUCCAAUGCAAGGCUUAGUUUAGAUUUUUUGCUUGACAUGGUGGACCUUGAAGCAAUGGGUAGGCAAGCUUGGGGAGCAGCGGCAUUGUCAUACUUAUAAAAUUCUUUAUGUCGUGCUUUGAUGUCCAAUGUCCGUGGUGUGUGGAUUCGUUUUCCUUGUUGCAGGUAUGGGCUUGGGAGCGGCUUAUCCCAUGCAACCAUCAUUAUGUCCUCCAAGGAUAAACGAGUGAGAUGCGAUACUUGCAUAGAAGUGGACUCGGCGUGGAAAUCGCGAAAGCGAGGCGUGAAUUGUGCUAGCAAUUUGUAGGGAUGUGUUAGAUAACCUAACUGAUGAUCAGUUUGUAUGGGAGCCUUAUACAGAGGUCAUCAUUGACUUCCCGAGUGGUGCCGGCGUGGUCGAAACAUUUGGAGGGUGCAUGUGCCACUCAUUUGUAGGAUCUACCGUGAGUGACGCAUGGUGGAUCGGGUCCUCAGACAAUUUGGUAUGGAGCAGCAUGUUCCGGGACCAUGUACCAAACAUGAACCAUUUCAUUUAACCCGGACAAGCGGUUUAAGGACCGAAUUCCCAGUAUUUUAAAUGGUACCGGAAGCACUCGCGCAGUUUGAUAGGAAAUCCAGCACGUAAUGUGGAUAGAGGAUACUAGCACCUCGUAGGGAGGCACGACACACUGGCUCGUGGACUGCAUGAACUGAGGUAUUUGGCUUACAGUAUUCAGGAAGACCCAUUACAGUGGCCGUCAACGCCUCACGGGGUGAAGACAUUGAUGCAGAGGUUUAUUGACAUUCCGGUGGAGGCUCUGAAUGCUGCUGCACUAGGGACGAGGUUGACGUUUGCUCCAGACUAUACACCACCGGCAGAUUAUGUGGCACCGCCUGACUUGCCCGUGCGACGUCGCCAACGUGCAGCUGUACCUGGUGCUGGUAACCCACGGGGUCGAGGCCACAUGACGCACCAGCGGGUUGAUGAAGAUCACGCUGAUGAUCCCGAUGAUAUUUCGUACACUGAGAAAGUUAAGGAAGACAGCAGGAUCGCAAAUUUUAAAACUGUAGAAAAUUUUCUGCCUGCAGUUCCUCUUGGAAGUAGAGAUAAGUCUAGGAGUGCAACGACACCUCUGAAGUCAGGGGACUUGAAUGACAUCCAUGCUACUGAUGGAGAGUCUAAGGUUCGAAUAUCUCUUAAGGAGAUGAACAUAUCUCAGAAAAAGCGAACUCAGGUGAGCUCUUGUUCUGCCGAUGACGGUCCUUCCGCUGAUUUUGACGAUAAUUGUGUUAAGAAAAACCGUCACUCAAGUCCCAGCAUACCAAUUCAUUUGUCAUGUCAAGCUGAUGGAGAGUUGCAUUCACGCACAACGAACUUUGGUCUCAACAACUUCAUUGGGAGCUCCAAGAACCAGUAACUUCGUCAGAUGAUAAAGGUUUUGAAGUAGUUGCUCGUGAUUUUAAAAUGAACAGAUCUAUGGGAAAGUUUCAAGUAAAUCAGGUAUGGACUCUCUAUGGUCAAAAUAGCACAUUGCCUAAUACUUACGCUCUGGUUAAGAAGAUAAUCCUGCCCCAUUCAAAUUGCAUGUAGUCCUCCUUGAAGUAUGUGCAGGGUCUAAUAGUGCUGCUCAGUUGGUUUGUGGAACAUUCAAAGUCCAGAAUGAAAAACAUCAAGUCUAUGAUCCUAGCUCAUUCUCACAUUUGGUGAAAGCAGUAUCUAUUAAUGGGAACAGGUUUGAGAUCUAUCCGAGAGAAGGAGAGGUUUGGGCACUGUAUAAGAGCUUGAAGAAAUCAGGUUUGGAUCCUGACAAGUUUGUAUAUGAGAUAGUGGAGGUCAUCGAGAACUCAAAAGACCACAUAGAAGUUUCAUCCAUGGUGCGUGUGAAUGGUUUCAAGUCAGUCUUCAGGUCUCCAAAAAAUGAAAGGUCGAAUCCUGCUGGAAAUACGAUAAGAUGAGUUUUGGAAAUUCUCUCAUCAGAUCCCUGCAUUUCAGCUGACUGGGGGAAAAGGAGGGGUUUUGAGAGGCUGCUGGGAGCUUGACCCUGCUUCAGUACCGUCUUCUUUGUUAGUGUGAUGGGAUUAGUUCUUCUGGAUUAACACACUAAUGGCCUACUGUUCUCAUCAGUUUCUUGCUAGAUGAUUAAAAUGGAACUUACCUAUAGGGAGGGCAACAAGGUAGCAGAUGUACUAGUGUGAUGACUCGGGAGUUUUUGGAAAAAGUUGUGUAUUAUGAUAACCCUCCACCUUCUCUAAUGGGUUUAUACACCCAAGACUAUCAAAGGACCAAAGAUAGUAGGAUGUAAGUGUUUGUAAAGGCUCUUAUUAUAUACUCCUUUUAAGCAAAAAAGAAAAAAGAUUAGCUGAUCUGUUUAUACGAAUUCUGUGUCUUCUACUUUAUACGGGUGAAGUGUUUUUCGCCAGAAUUCAGGGAUGGUAUCACUAGUAUAAAUCUUAAUAUAGGCCAUUAUAGUUAUUAGCAUCGAUAGUGUUGGGGCUGAACACUUUUGGCUGCUGUAUGUUUGCAUUAUUUUACUUUUGCCUAGUGCUGUAAGACUAGUGAAUGAAUUGUAUCCCCAGAUGAUUACUGGAACAUGUAGUGAGGAUAUUAACGGACGACAUGUUCUUUUGGAA